AGAUUGAACGCUGGCGGCAUGCCUAACACAUGCAAGUCGAACGGGAGUAGCAAUACUCUAGUGGCGGACGGGUGAGGAAUACGUAGGAAUUUGCCCUUAAGUGGGGGAUAACCCGGGGAAACCCGGAUUAAUACCGCAUGACCUCGAAAGAGCAAAGUGGGGGAUCGCAAGACCUCACGCUUUUGGAGAAGCCUACGUCGGAUUAGCUAGUUGGUGAGGUAAUGGCUCACCAAGGCGACGAUCCGUAACUGGUCUGAGAGGAUGAUCAGUCACACCGGAACUGAGACCGCGGUCCGGACUCCGACGGGACGCAGCAGGU
rnacentral:rRNA from 1 species